UUCUCGCGUGUGAGAUCUCACUUCUCAUGUGCGAUUCACGAGGAGGCGAUGUAUUAAUAUUCAACAGCUUCCCCUUAAUCCAUUUUUAAAACGACAUUGUCGAUCAUCGUAUCGUCUGCGGCGGCGCUGUUCCUCGAUUCAACCAUCUCCGAAUUCAGGUAUCUACUAGCUUCACAUCUUGAUGCACUGUUGGGUGUUAAAGAGUCAUUCAAAGCCAAUAUGUGUUGGUUAUCAUCAAACAAAACAUGUGGCUCAAAGUAGACUUUCUCGGUUUCACCAUUACUAUCCCUCUCCAAUGAAGAUUGAAGAAUCAAGAAUCAAUUAGCUACCAGCAGACCCAAGAGGUAAGAGAGACGAAAUGAAGACCCAAGAGUUAAGAGAGAUGAAAUGAAGAAGUUAAGAGACAUGGAAUGAAGAGAUCGAUGGUGAAAUGAAGAAAUCGCAAAAUGGGAGAGUGAAAAUAUGGUUUGGGGCUUGUUGGAAUGAAAAUUUAGGGAAAAUUGAUGAAAAAAAAUGGAUUUUAGUAAAUAAAAGAGGGGUAAUGGUUGACCCGGUUUUUUCCAAAAAUCGGUUGGACUGGCGGGUUGCUAUAGUACCCACGGUCCAACCACGGGUUAUUUUAGGUGAAAUCACCUUUCCGAGUUUUAUGUCAGCCCGACCCGACUUAGAAGUCGUUUCCCGGUUGAAACGGUCGAGUCGGGCUGGGUCCUAG